rnacentral:misc_RNA from 1 species
CUGGCCAUUAACUGAUAUCAGCCAGCUGAGCAAUAUAAACAAAGAAAAAUGCUUGUUUAGUUUAAAUUUUAAAUAAAUAUACAAUUAUUCGUUUACUAUUCCGCAAAUGAAUUAUAAUUGCAAAAUUCAGGCCAAUAGAUGUUUCCUAAUCAAAUUAUGAUAAGGCGACGCGUUAUAGCAGCCUAGAUUUGAAUAGAAGAAAAAGUUUAACAAAGUGCUUCUUUAAAUUAUUUUUUCCAUCAUCUGAUUCACAUGUACAUUAAAAAAAUGUAUCGUGAAUUAUUACUCCUAAUAUUUUAUUUAAUUAGCCAAGCAUUUUGUUAUAAACCAGUGAUUCUUUUACAUGGGAUUAUGACUGGAGCCGAAAGCAUGGAACUGAUUAAGGCAAGAAUCCAGGAAAAGCAUCCUGGUACAAUCAUUUAUAAUAUUGAGAGAUUUGGUGGUUGGUCAAGUCUCGAUAAUCUCAAUUAUCAAGUACAACAAAUCAGUCAGGAUUUUAAUAACUUCACAUUGCAGCAUCCCGGUGGUAUUCAUCUCUUAGGUUAUUCUCAAGGGGCAUUAUUAGCAAGAACAAUAUUACAAGCAAAUUUAAAUCACAGCGUUCAUACCUUUAUUUCAUUGAGUGGGCCUCAGGCCGGACAAUAUGGCAAGUGGGUCAACAUACCUCAGUAGGCAAUUACUGGAAUGACCCUUACCAUAAACAACUUUAUGUGGAAUACUCACAGUUUUUGCCUUAUGUUAAUAAUGAAUUGCUUACAAAUAGUAGCAAACAGUAUAAGGAUGCCCU